rnacentral:rRNA from 1 species
UACGGAGGGUGCAAGCGUUGCUCGGAAUCAUUGGGCGUAAAGCGCGCGUAGGCGGUUAUUUAAGUUGGAUGUGAAAGCCCUCGGCUUAACUGAGGAAGUGCAUCCAAAACUGAAUAGCUAGAGUACGAAAGAGGGUCGCGGAAUUCCCGGUGUAGAGGUGAAAUUCGUAGAUAUCGGGAGGAACACCGGUGGCGAAGGCGGCGACCUGGGUCGAGACUGACGCUGAGGCGCGAAAGCGUGGGGAGCAAACAGG